rnacentral:lncRNA from 1 species
UUUUCACUUGAAGACAUUUUGAACUUUUUCUUACAGGGUUUCUCUGCUGGGCUGUUUGCAUUCUACCAUGAUAAAGAUGGAAAUCCUCUCACUUCAAGAUUUGCAGAUGGCCUCCCACCUUUUAAUUAUAGUCUGGGAUUAUAUCAAUGGAGUGAUAAAGUAGUUCGAAAAGUGGAGAGAUUAUGGGAUGUUCGAGAUAAUAAGAUAGUUCGUCACACUGUGUAUCUCCUGGUAACGCCUCGUGUUGUUGAGGAAGCACGAAAACAUUUUGAUUGUCCAGUUCUAGAGGGAAUGGAACUUGAAAAUCAAGGUGGUGUGGGCACUGAGCUCAACCAUUGGGAAAAAAGGUUAUUAGAGAAUGAAGCGAUGACUGGUUCUCACACUCAGAAUCGAGUACUCUCUCGAAUCACUCUGGCAUUAAUGGAGGACACUGGGAGACAGAUGCUGAGCCCUUACUGUGACACGCUCAGAAGUAACCCACUGCAGCUAACUUGCAGACAGGACCAGAGAGCAGUUGCCGUGUGUAAUUUGCAGAAGUUCCCUAAGCCUUUACCACAGGAAUACCAG